UGCUUUUCCCCCUACAUCAUAACUGAUUUCAAAUGGUGCUAGACAAAAACAGACUCUGAACACCAGGAGAAAUCGGUCAGCCUGUGUAAGAGAUGG
rnacentral:miRNA from 1 species